GCUGAAUCCUGUGUUUUAAUUGUACAUUAUAUCUAAGGAUGGCGCCUUUAAGAAAAGUCUCAGAUCGACAAAUGGACAUUUUGUUGGAGUUCGUUGAAAGACAUAAAGAGCUUGCUGUUGGCCGGUACCCUCCCGGCCCACUAGGCAUACAAUCAGCACGUUGGCUAUGGGACAGUGCAGCAUUACAAAUACCUAUAUGAAUUAUAUUCAAUUGGGUCUGGAUUUACAAAAACUGGUAAAAAAAUCUGACGGGCAUUCACAUGUAAAGUGACAAUGUGCAAUCAUAACUUAAAGGUUAAAGUAGAAAAAAUAUUUUAAUAAUGAUUAUAGUAAGACUGGUAGAAGCAAAAUGUGAUAGGAAGUUAUGUGAUUUAAAAUCAAAAAUAAAAGCCAUUAAUAUAAA